GUCUAUGGCUGUACUCCCUCAAAUAAGUCCAGGCUCAUCUAAUCUGGGAAUUAAGCAGGGUUGGACCUGUUUAUUACUUGUAUGGGGAACUGCUUGGCAAUACUGGGUACUGGAGGCA
ensembl:rRNA 5S_rRNA 5S ribosomal RNA